ACACCGUUUGCUUUCCUUAAUGUCUUAGCCAGUUAUUUGCAUUGUAGAAUUCAGGUAGCAGCAUUUGAUGUGCUCUUACUUAAGUUUAAUGUUUAUGUUAGCAAUAUUUUAUUAAAAAAACUUAGUAAACAUGAUACAUUCUUUAUCAGUAGGUUUCCAAAAUGGUUUGUGAAAUUAAAAUCUUUUCUAGAAAGAUUCAUUGGUCAGAUAAUCUGUGGUCAAAACUUUUCAAAUUCUGCUUUGUGUACUUUGAGAAUCUAGGUUUUCAUAAACAGGUCAAUAUUUUUGGCUUUUUUUUUCCUUCUUUGCAUUUCUCACUCUUAUACUGGCAAUUUUGGUUGAAAAUUGAAUUGCUUUCUGAAACGUAUGUUUGAAAUCUACAAUGUAGCAUUUUGGAGAUGGGAAGAGC